rnacentral:rRNA from 1 species
AUUGAACGCUGGCGGCAUGCCUAACACAUGCAAGUCGAACGGUAACAGGUUGAGCUUUCGCGUGGUGAACGGGAGAGGAAUGUGUGGGAAAGAGGUCAGUCGUGGGGCAUAAAUGCGGGGAAGAGCUGCUAAAACCGCUUACGACAUGCGGGUGAAAGCGCGAGAUCAAAAGACCUCGCGCGCUGGGAGCGUCCGAUCUCGGAUUAGGUAGUUGGUGGGGUAAAGGCUCACCAAGACGACGAUCGGUAGCUGGUCUGAGAGGACGACCAGCCACACUGGAACUGAGACACGGCCCAGACUCCUACGGGAGGCAGCAGUGGGGAAUUUUGGACAAUGGGCGCAAGCCUGAUCCAGCCAUGCCGCGUGCGGGAAGAAGGCCUUCGGGUUGUAAACCGCUUUUGUCAGGGAAGAAGAGGGUCUGGCUAAUACCUGGAACUCAUGACGGUACCUGAAGAAUAAGCACCGGCUAACUACGUG